rnacentral:rRNA from 1 species
CCUACGGGUGGCUGCAGUGAGGAAUAUUGGUCAAUGGACGCAAGUCUGAACCAGCCAUGCCGCGUGAAGGAUGAAGGCCUUCUGGGUUGUAAACUUCUUUUAUUGGGGAAGAAAAUUACGGUUUCUACUGUAACCGACGGUACCCAAGGAAUAAGCACCGGCUAACUCCGUGCCAGCAGCCGCGGUAAUACGGAGGGUGCAAGCGUUACCCGGAUUCACUGGGGUUAAAGGGUGUGUUUGAGUGCAUUUAGAAAUCUCCGAGCUCAACUCGGAAACUGCCAUUGAUACUAUUUGUCUUGAAUAUCGUUGAGGUUGGCGGAAUAUAUCAUGUAGCGGUGAAAUGCUUAGAUAUGAUAUAGAACACCGAUUGCGAAGGCAGCUAACUAAGCGAUGAUUGACGCUGAGGCACGAAAGCGUGGGGAUCAAACAGGAUUAGAUACCCGUGUAGUC